rnacentral:rRNA from 1 species
UCCAGCAGCCAUAUCACCCUGCAACUCACAACUGGCAGCCCACUGAAGUUCAGUGGGUGUGAGCCUGGUCAGUACCUGGAUGGGAGACCUCCUGGGAAAAACUAAGGUUGCUGCUGGAA